rnacentral:rRNA from 1 species
UACGGAGGGUGCAAGCGUUAUCCGGAUUCACUGGGUUUAAAGGGUGCGUAGGUGGGCAGGUAAGUCAGUGGUGAAAUCCUUGAGCUUAACUCGAGAACUGCCAUUGAUACUAUCUGUCUUGAAUGUUGUGGAGGUGAGCGGAAUAUGUCAUGUAGCGGUGAAAUGCUUAGAUAUGACAUAGAACAUCUAUUGCGAAGGCAGCUCACUACGCAAAUAUUGACACUGAGGCACGAAAGCGUGGGGAGCAAACAGG